rnacentral:rRNA from 1 species
AGGACAAACGCUGGCGGCGUGCCUAAGACAUGCAAGUCGGACGGGGGGCUUUGGCCCCUAGUGGCGGACGGGUGAGGAACGCGUGGAGAACCUGCCCCGGGGUGGGGGAUACCCGCCAGAAAUGGCGGUUAAGACCGCAUACGAAUGUCUCGUGCAGGCGAGAUCGGGAAAGCAGUGAUGUGCCCUGGGAGGGCUCCGCGUCGGAUUAGCUAGUUGGUGGGGUAACGGCCUACCAAGGCGACGAUCCGUAGCUGGUCUGAGAGGACGGCCAGCCACACUGGGACUGAGACACGGCCCAGACUCCUACGGGAGGCAGCAGUGGGGAAUUUGCGCAAUGGGGGAAACCCUGACGCAGCAACGCCGCGUGGAGGAUGAAGCCCCUUGGGGUGUAAACUCCUUUCGAUCGGGAAGAUAAUGACGGUACCGAUAUAAGAAGCCCCGGCUAACUUCGUGCCAGCAGCCGC